GAUGAGCGCUGGCGGCGUGCUUAACACAUGCAAGUCGAGCGAGUGAGUUCUUCGGAACAAUCUAGCGGCGGACGGGUGAGUAACACGUGGGCAACCUGCCUCAUAGAGGGGAAUAGCCUCCCGAAAGGGAGAUUAAUACCGCAUAAAAUUAUCGAGUGGCAUCACAUGAUAAUCAAAGGAGUAAUCCGCUAUGAGAUGGGCCCGCGGCGCAUUAGCUAGUUGGUGAGGUAACGGCUCACCAAGGCGACGAUGCGUAGCCGACCUGAGAGGGUGAUCGGCGACAUUGGGACUGAGACACGGCCCAGACUCCUACGGGAGGCAGCAGUGGGGAAGAUUGCACAAUGGGGGAAACCCUGAUGCAGCAACGCCGCGUGAGUGAUGAAGGUCUUCGGAUUGUAAAGCUCUGUCUUUGGGGACGAUAAUGACGGUACCCAAGGAGGAAGCCACGGCUAACUACGUGCCAGCAGCCGCCGUAA
rnacentral:rRNA from 1 species